GACGUAGGGCGCGAGCGUUGUCCGGAUUUAUUGGGCGUAAAGAGCUCGUAGGCGGCUCAUUGCGUCAACCGUGAAAACCAGCAGCUCAACUGUUGGCUUGCGGUUGAUGCAGGUGGGCUGGAGUUCGGUAGGGGAGACUGGAAUUCCUGGUGUAGCGGUGAAAUGCGCAGAUAUCAGGAGGAACACCGGUGGCGAAGGCGGGUCUCUGGGCCGAUACUGACGCUGAGGAGCGAAAGCGUGGGGAGCGAACAGG
rnacentral:rRNA from 1 species